rnacentral:rRNA from 1 species
CCUACGGGGGGCUGCAGUGAGGAAUAUUGGUCAAUGGACGAGAGUCUGAACCAGCCAAGUAGCGUGAAGGAUGACUGCCCUAUGGGUUGUAAACUUCUUUUAUAUGGGAAUAAAAUGUUCCACGUGUGGGAUUUUGUAUGUACCUUAUGAAUAAGGAUCGGCUAACUCCGUGCCAGCAGCCGCGGUAAUACGGAGGAUCCGAGCGUUAUCCGGAUUUAUUGGGUUUAAAGGGAGCGUAGGUGGAUUGUUAAGUCAGUUGUGAAAGUUUGCGGCUCAACCGUAAAAUUGCAGUUGAAACUGGCAGUCUUGAGUACAGUAGAGGUGGGCGGAAUUCGUGGUGUAGCGGUGAAAUGCUUAGAUAUCACGAAGAACUCCGAUUGCGAAGGCAGUUCACUAGACUGCAACUGACACUGAGGCUCGAAAGUGUGGGUAUCAAACAGGAUUAGAUACCCCUGUAGUC